rnacentral:rRNA from 1 species
CCUACGGGUGGCAGCAGUGGGGGAUAUUGCACAAUGGGGGGAACCCUGAUGCAGCGACGCAGCGUGGGUGAAGGAGUGCUUCGGCAUGUAAAGCCCUAUCGGCAGGGAAGAAGCAAGACGGUACCUGACUAAGAAGCCCCUGCUAACUACGUGCCAGCAGCCGCGGUAAUACGUAGGGGGCGAGCGUUAUCCGGAUUCACUGGGUGUAAAGGGAGCGUAGACGGCCAUGCAAGCCAGGGGUGAAAGCCCGGGGCACAACCCCGGGACUGCCCUUGGAACUGCAUGGCUAGAGUGCGGGAGGGGCAGGCGGAAUUCCUGGUGUAGCGGUGAAAUGCGUAGAUAUCAGGAGGAACACCGGCGGCGAAGGCGGUCUGCUGGACCGCGACUGACGUUGAGGCUCGAAAGCGUGGGGAGCGAACAGGAUUAGAUACCCUUGUAGUC